GGAACUACAACCGGCGCCGGUGGCAGGCUCUACCGAGCUGAACUGGUAAUGAGUCAAGUCAACAAGCAUUAAUUAAGUGCCUACUAAUAUACCAGGCACUGUGUUAGGCGCGGGACACAAAAAUGGGCAAUAAACGUGUCCAGAUGACCGACUGUAUGCUCUCUGCGCUGCUCACUCAUGAAGCCGUCUGGAAUGCCUUAGCCCUCCCCACAAACAGGAGCAUCAAUAAUGCAGUUGCGGUUGCAAGUGCUAGGAAGCUGAGGUGAGGUGGAGAUUCCCAUACAGACUCUAAGCCUCAGUGUCCAGACGCACAUCCUGGCUCCCAGUUCCAGUCACACCAGCCCCGCCCCAGCGGCUUCUCCAGCUG